AGAGCCCCGUGGUGUGAUCACGUUAAAUUGCAAAUUUAAAAAAGCACCCAUAAGUGUGCCGGGGCU
rnacentral:tRNA from 1 species